AGAUGAGGAGCGUGGGACGAAUGUUGAUGAUAUUUCGGAGGAAGAAAAGAGGAGGCAGGCUGCGUUGCCGCGGAAUCCGAAGAAGAGGAUGAUGGAGGCUGAUAUUUAGGGGUGAGCUUUCUUUUUCUUUUUCUUUUUUCCUUUUUUCUUUUUUCCUGGUGGUUAAUAAUAGUGGGGUUAAACGUGACGCUUUUUCAUGGGAUGAUAUAUAGAUUUGAUGAAUGAAUCCCUAGAAACAAAAUUCCAUAAAUUGAAUACUCCUUUAUUUUAAAUAAAAGACUAGUUCUCGUGUCUUCACCAAUAACACCACA
rnacentral:sRNA from 2 species